CACACGUGCGACCGUGUAGCGCGUGCCAAGCGCAAGCUCGCCGCAUUCCUCCGACGACUAGCUCUGUGACCUGCGUUUCUCUGCCCUGUCCUCUUCAUUCGCUAUCAUCGCAGAAUUCUACGCAUAUCAAGGCUGACCUGCUAUCUGCCUUUUAGAGACGCGUCAUGCGUGAUUCCGGGUUCGUGAAGACGCUCCUGAGGUCGUGGCAACUCAUCUACAUUGUAGCCGUGCCCCUGCUGCUGCUACCACUACCACUGUACAUGAGGAGUAAGGCCGGCCUGAGUGCGUACGCGAUGCUCUGGAUGGCCUUCUACUGGACGGCAGAGGCCAUUCCGCUUCCGGUCACGGGGCUCAUGCCGCUCGUGCUGUUUCCACUGUUCGGCAUCCUCACUACUGCCCAAACAACCAAGAUGUAUUUCAACAACAUCGGCUUCGUCAUGUUCGGAUCGCUAAUCGUGGCAGCAGCUGUGGAAGUAAGCCACUUACACCAUCGCCUCGCCAUCGGGUCGCUUCUGACUGUAGGGACCAGCAACCGCAGACUCCUACUGGGUUUUAUGCUGGUCACCAUGUUCAUGUCGAUGUGGAUUCCCAAUACUGCGUCUGCCUCCAUCAUGGUCCCCAUCGUCAUGGCUGUAUUGGAUCAGAUGCAAGUUCUCACCAAGGAGGCCGAAGUGACGCUUGUCAGUCCCAUGAAGUCCCCAGAUCCCCCUGCUGGCCAGGUCGUUGAAGAGGCACUUCGACACGAGGACGAGCUGCAUGUAAUCCAGAUGCGCAAGGUGAUGCUGCUGUCGGUCGCCUACGCCGCCAACAUCGGCGGCACCGGAUCGGUGAUCGGCACGCCACCCAAUCUGAUCUUGCAGGCGAUGUACGCUAAGCACUUCAAGCAAGACGACCUCACCUUCCUGGCGUGGAUGCUAUACAACGUGCCACCAAUGCUUGCCUGCACUUUCCUGGCGUGGGUCUAUACACAGUGGAUCGUGGCCAAACUCACACCCAAGGGCACGGAACAAGAAAGUCGCGAGAAGAUCAAGCAGGAGCUCGAGCGCCGCUACAACAACCUUGGACCGCUCAAGUUCCAGGAGGCGGCAGUGCUGUUGCUCACCUGCAUCCUGAUACUUCUCUGGCUCACGCAAAACCCCCGAAUUGUCCCCGGUUGGGCAAGCCUGUUCCCGUACGGCAAAGACAUCACGUCGUGCGUGCCGGCGGUGCUCAUUACCAUCUUGAUGUUCGUCGUGCCCAAGGAACCACUGCGCGGCUCCAAGAGCCUAGGCCUCCUCACCUGGGAGGAGGCCAAUUCCAAAGUUCACUGGGGAGUCGUGCUCAUUAUAUGCGGUGGCAUGACUCUUGCUGAGGCUUCCAAGGUGUCGGGUCUGUCCACGAUCCUAGUGAGCAAGCUGCGCGGCCUGAAAGUGAUGCCGAGCUACGUGGUGGUGUCCAUCCUCUGCUUCUCCGCCUCCAUCCUCACCGAAUUCACCAGCAACACGGCCAUCAGCGCCAUCAUGCUACCCAUCGUGUUCGAGAUGGCCGUGGCGCUCGAAGUACACCCGCUGUACUUCGCCAUACCGGUGACCAUCGCCUGCUCGUUCUCAUUCAUGCUUCCGGCGGCAACGCCGCCAAACGCCAUCGUUUUCGAGAUGGGGAACUUCAAGGUGACCGACAUGGAUGAAACGGGAAAGUGUAUUGCUGCUUCUGAUGCCGGUGUUCGCGAUGGCACUGACCAUAGACAAAGAAAGUGGUGGCUACCAUGACGUACUGGUGGCCAUCGAGGAGUCCGUCGAGCCGAACGAAGCGCUCGUCGAGGCCAUCAAGGCACUCCUGCGCGCCGCCUCGUCGUCUCUGCACCGGGCGACGGGGGGCCGCGUCCACCUGGCCAGCGUCACGCUGGCGGUUCCGCGGCACUGGCCCCGACGUCCCGGUGCCCAGCAGGUGCCCCAUGACCCGUGGUCCAG